UAUACGGUGACCCGGAAACAGUGCCCCUUCCCUUCCUGUACACAGAGCUCCGCCCCCGGUCUCCACCAGAGUUGCACAGUAGUAAAGAAGACAUCUGGUGAGUGUGAGACACCCAGCAGCCAUAGCCGUGUGUCACGUGGACUGAGCAGAACUAAGAGCCCCAUCACGGUGCCUCCACCUCACUCACUGAUACAUGAGAGGCACAGUGACCAGAAGAUCCUGGAACUCACCAACAAGAUCAUUCAGCUGCUGACUGGAGAGAUGGGUUCAGUAACAGAGAUACCCCAGAGAGAUGUCCCCGUCCUCUGUAUUCCCAGGAUUGUACAGAGGAGAAUCACAGGACCCCA